rnacentral:rRNA from 1 species
GACGAACGCUGGCGGCGUGCUUAACACAUGCAAAUCGAACGAUGAAGCCGGAGCUUGCUCUGGUGAAUUAGUGGCGAACGGGUGAGUAACACGUGAGUAACCUGCCCUUGACUCUGGGAUAACUGCUAGAAAUGGUAGCUAAUACCGGAUACGACCCUCGGAGGCAUCUCCAGGGGGUGGAAAGAAUUUCGGUCAAGGAUGGACUCGCGGCCUAUCAGCUAGUUGGUGAGGUAACGGCUCACCAAGGCGACGACGGGUAGACGGCCUGAGAGGGUGACGGGCCACGCUGGGACUGAGACACGGCCCAGAGUCCUACGUGAUGAAGCAGUGGGGAAUAUUGCACAAUGGGCGCAAGCCUGAUGCAGCAACGCCGCGUGAGGGAUGACGGCCUUCGGGUUGUAAACCUCUUUUAGUAGGGAAGAAGCGAAAGUGACGGUACCUGCAGAAAAAGCACCGGCUAACUACGUGCCAGCAGCCGCCGCGG